rnacentral:rRNA from 1 species
GGUUAAGUGAAUAAGGGCGCACGGUGGAUGCCUUGGCACUAGGAGCCGAUGAAGGACGGGACUAACACCGAUAUGCUUCGGGGAGCUGUAAGUAAGCUUUGAUCCGGAGAUUUCCGAAUGGGGGAACCCAGCAUCUUUUGUAGGAUGUUACCUUUAAGUGAAUUCAUAGCUUAUUGGAGGUAGACGCAGAGAACUGAAACAUCUAAGUACCUGCAGGAAGAGAAAGAAAAUUCGAUUCCCU